rnacentral:tRNA from 1 species
GAGAUGUGUAGAUUCAAGAUAAUGCUUCUAACAUUCUUCUUAAGCGGUUAAAAUCCGUUUACAUCUCU